GCCAGGUAUGGGACUACCACCUGUAGUCCCAGCUACUCAGGAGGCUGAGGCAGGAGAAUCGCUUGAGUCCAGGAGUUCUGGGCUAUGGGAUCCUAUGCCUAUCCACCCUAAGUUUGGCAUCAAUAUGGCAACCUCCUGGGAGCAGGGGACCAUCAGAUUUCCUAAACAGGCAUGAACUGGCUGGCCCAGGUCAGAAAUGGCGCAGGUCAAAAGGCCUGUGCUGACCAGGCGUAGCACUGUUCCUGGGGUCAGCCUGGCACGCCGGGUUGGGCAACACAGCAGGACCUUGUCUCA
rnacentral:SRP_RNA from 1 species